rnacentral:rRNA from 1 species
UACGAAGGGGGGCUAGCGUUGCUCGGAAUCACUGGGCGUAAAGGGCGCGUAGGCGGCCAUUCAAGUCAGGGGUGAAAGCCUGUGGCUCAACCACAGAAUUGCCUUUGAUACUGUUUGGCUAGAGACCGGAAGAGGUAAGUGGAACUGCGAGUGUAGAGGUGAAAUUCGUAGAUAUUCGCAAGAACACCAGUGGCGAAGGCGGCUUACUGGUCCGGUUCUGGACGCUGAGACGCGAAAGCGUGGGGAGCAAACAGG